CCUCUGCCUUCUUUUUAACCCUCACACUCACUAACUCAGUGCAUGUCUGUUUAGAUGGUGACUAAGUGUCCGCAGCGGAGAGGGCUUUGUUUUGAACCGAUUAUUUCUUUCAUUUGGACCGGGUAUUAUGCAUUUUGCUGAGAGAGGUUCUGUGGAGUUGAUUGUUGUACUGUGAGAACCCUAGAUGUCGAGGAGGUUCCCCUGGAACAGGCAUUGGAGGAAGAUGACGUUGAACCAUAGUUUCAUUAGGAUUUCCUUAUUUUAACUUAUGUAUUUUGAAAAACUUUAAUAUGUAGAACCCAUGAUAUGUUGGAAGACUUAGUACUUCAAGCUUUGACUU
rnacentral:sRNA from 1 species